UACGUAGGGUGCAAGCGUUAAUCGGAAUUACUGGGCGUAAAGCGUGCGCAGGCGGUUAUGCAAGACAGAGGUGAAAUCCCCGGGCUCAACCUGGGAACUGCCUUUGUGACUGCAUGACUAGAGUACGGUAGAGGGGGAUGGAAUUCCGCGUGUAGCAGUGAAGUGCGUAGAUAUGCGGAGGAACACCGAUGGCGAAGGCAAUCCCCUGGACCUGUACUGACGCUCAUGCACGAAAGCGUGGGGAGCAAACAGG
rnacentral:rRNA from 1 species